rnacentral:lncRNA from 1 species
AAUGUCCUGAGCCAACCCUGAGGACAUCUGAGUGUGUGUAGCUCUCUAGUGUGUCAUUGAAAGUUGGAGAAAAGUGGAUUUAAAUGGGGUCAUCUGGAGGUUGUUUGAUUCUUUUCAGCUUUCUAUUACAGAGGAGAAUACUCUCAUUGGGAAAGGAUCCUGAUUAGAAAGUUUGCAAGUUUCAUGUCACACUUGUUCUCUGACUUUUGACCCCCAGCUGAAGGAACCUGGGCAGUGUAUAUUUUUCUCACUAGCAUUUCUCUUUCAGGAUUCUGACUGGGCUGGAUCACUCACAUGAAGGAUGGAGAGUCAUAUCUACGUGAUUCUAACCCCUCCCCAUCAAUGGCCAUAGUAGAUAGUAGUUGCAUGUAUUUGAAGCCUUCUUAAAAAACCCACUUUAAGCCACAUGACUAUCACACAAUAGUCUCCUCCUCCAACAUACUAUAAAUUUUGCAGGUUUCUCAUCUACACAUACCUGAUCUUUCACCCUUGUCUUUGGUGCUGUAUCAGAUAACAGAGUCUUCUUUGAUUCCCUUUUAUGUUCACCAUCACUUAUUAAAAACCAGAAUCCAGGUAACUUAGCCAUACAUUUCUUGACCUCGCCCAUCUCUCUUGCUGGUCUCCUUCCUACAAAGUCUGAAACCUCAACAGGGAUUCUGUGAUAGCAACAGUAGGUUCCCAGAGAUGGAGGCUCCUUCUUUUCUCAGUCUUUGUUCUUACACACUCAUAUUAAACUCAUAUUUUAAUUCACAAUGCCACUGCAGCUCCAACCAUCACAUGUAUCUGCAUAGUAGACAGAGAGCAAAAAUUUUUAUGAGUUCUUGAAGGUAUCCCUAGCAAGGCUCCAUCUCUUUAGCACAGUGUAACUGUAAGCCUUACAUGAACCGGGUACUCCUGAAAGGCAGGCUGGGGCUGAAAGAGACUAGAUAGCGAGAAAAGAAUGAGGCUAAGACAAAUUUUUCUCUGAUCAAGACCCCAAAGUUUACUAAGAGUCUGUGCUUAUAAAGAGGGGAGGCCAAUCCCCCGCCAAUCCAUUCUUGGUGUCUGGAGCCAGCCUGUAGGCGACAUGCAGGAUAGGAUGUGUCUCUGGAAUGUCUCAAGGUCUCUCAGCAGGUAGCAGAGUCUUGGAGAACAGUGGUAGUUGACAUAAUAUAGCCAUCAUAAUAUAGCUACACUCCAGGUGAUCUUAUAUUCAGUGGCAGCCUGCUUCAAAGCUGAGGGAGGCUACAAUUCCUCCCUAAAUAUAUACUAAAAAUUAGCUGGACUGAGGCAUAAAAUUAUUUUUAUGCUCCAUAGUCCUGCCUGGGAGUUAUGGUGGCUGGCGGCCGUGCCUGGCUUGGGAUAUCUCUGAUUUUCCCGAACUAUUCUUAUCUGUCAACUAUUCUUAUCUUAUUCUUAUGCAGCUUGUUUGUGUUUAUUUUACACCAACAUGGCUCUGUGGUGUAUUAUUAAUAAACCACGGCCUCUUGGCAUAUACCUCUGUCUUCGAUUGAUAUAGUUCUGAAAUCUGGUUGCCCGACAUUGACUGAAUGGCCCUCAUACCACACCUUAUUCCCAAAUCAGACCAAAGCCACAAUAUAUACUCAAUAUGCUUCUUCAUAUCAAUGAAUUUCUGCCACCUGUACUUGCUAGAGGCGGGGCUGCAUGCUUGCUGAAAACAGGCUGUAAGGCGUUGACUGAUCUGCUUGAAAAAACAAAGUCAGUUGAAAAACAACAGGAUAAAAGCUUCUUCCGGGAAGUCCAGGUACUCUAUUCAGUUGCAAAUUAGCAAUGAACAAGCUUAGACUCUGACCUUUCAGUGUAGGAGAGGUGACUCUGAGAAUCAACAGAAAGGCUGUAAAUUCUCUGGAAAUGGAGGCUGAGCUCCAAAUAACUUUUUCAACUAAAAAGGAUUUUUAGCCAUCAUCGAGGUUAGAAUCAUACUUACUAGAAGAUUCAGGAUCUGUGUCCACUUGACGAACCAGUCUUUCAGGCAGCCAUUGAAAGGAAAUAAAACUUGAAACCUGUGACUCAUGUAAUGUAUGUCAAAAAGCCCAAAGAGUUGUUUGUGAGCUUUAAAACCUGGGGCUGAGAACAUAGCAGAACAGGCCAAGACAUGCCCAGGCAGGCCGUUACAAGAUGGCGCUGACAUCCGUUGCUCGUAGUAAAAUGUGCGCAGGCGUCAGGGUAUCGUUCCAUUACCUGAGCCCUGCCUUUCUCGUGGCGUUAACUGACUGAUAGUGGGCAGCCAAUCCCAGUGGUGCACAUCUCCAACCAUUUUUUCGCAGCCUAUAAAAGGGAAGGGUUUUCUGCUCUCUGGGUCUCCUCUCCUGAAGCUGAUCAUCUAUCUCUCGAGAUGUAUUAAAGCUGUACUGCAGAAGGAUCCGAGUGGCCUGCAUGCGUUUUGCUGGCGAGACGGUAGAGUGGGUCAGCUAGAGAAAUGUAAUUUAUCAUGAUCACAUCUAGUCAAAGCAACAGGAUCUGAAAUUAAGGCCUCUCCUAUUAGAGCUCUGUCGAUGAAAUCAUUGCCUGCAGCAAAAGGUACAGGAAGACCAGAAUGUGCUCGUAUAUGACCAAUAUAAAACAGAUGUUUUUGGGCAAGAAUGAUAUUUUGCAAUUGUGAAAACAGAGAUCCUUCUUGCAUAUUAAAGUUAAAUGUACCACAAGUCUCC